AAUCAGACGGUCACCUUGCGUCGCUGGUUUGUUGUUCAGUGCUUUGAGUCACAGUCAAAACUCUGCCAUACGCAGGCAGAUUGUUAGCACUGUUGGAAACGCUAUGUGACGAUAGAUCCUGCUGCAGCCACGACUGAACAGCUCAGCUUUGCAGUCUUUCCAGCAACGUCUUUUCGCAACAAUCUAAUUGAACUGAGAGGAGGAACCGCGGCACCACCGACAGUGUCACCUGUCGCCUCGCAGGCUUAUCCGGUUCUAGAACAAUCGCCAGCUGGAAAAUACUCUGAGAUCUGUCGCAUGAAAGAAGAUCUCUCAGCAUUUAUAGCACGGUAUUGAAGUCAAAACGCUGCUGUUCAUGAGGAUAUAAGCUCUAGAUAUGUAACUACGAGCUGAAGACCACACACAGCGACUUGUGUUGUGAUGCAUGGAGGCUGCAAUCAUGGACGUAAAAUCUUGCACGAGUACGUGUCACGGCAUGUCUACCACGUGCGAGCAUUUGUAGAGGCAGACAUCUACUGUAGUAUAAUUAUUAGUGUGUUGCACUGUACUUCUAUUCUGCUCACCUAGAUCAAUCUGUCAGUGAGAUCAUGACUAUCAUUGAUGGUUUACUGAAAUACUGUAGACAUAACAUUUGCUUUAGCGAUUAACAUGUGUUUAUGUAUUAGAUUUUACUCGGUGCCACUAGCUAGGUAUACAGCUUCCUCACAAACGAGAGACUACAUGUAGUACACAGACAAGAACAUGCACAUACACAAACAAGCGGACAACACUAACGUAAGUACAUGAUAAAAAGGCUUCAGGGUUGAAGCUCCUGUUAUUCUUUGAGUGCGUCGGGACUGAAAGGUAGCUGAAGUUGCCGUCUUGCUGUGACAAGAGUGUGACCCUCCAUUGCAACAACAGGACCGUGUUCGCUCAAUUUUCUCUUUUUGCGAUGAACCUUUAUUCUCUGAAAGCAGUUCUCGAUUGGAGUGAGGGUGCAGCUGUAGGGAGGAGACGAACAAGUUUGCAGUCCUCCGGCAUAUUCUCGCUAACUCUUGCUUCCACACCGCGAUGGCAUGGAGCAUUGUCAAAGACUAUGUACCAAUUACGGUAAUAACCAGGUACCAUUGGUUCACUUAGUCACUUCAAAGAGUGAUUUUACAAACUGGUCAAAUUGAUCUUGUCUAGCUUCACCUACAAUCCUUGUACUAUGUAUGACUCCUAGACCAGGGCAAAUGGCAAACA